AUGGAAGGCCUCCUACACUGGGAUUUCAAACCUGGCCUUGUUGUGGCCGAUCAGGUACGUCAGCGGUUUCGAGAAACGGUUCACUUCUCUCCAUCUCGCAAGACCAAGGAAUUUUUCUUGGUGGUUUCUUUCUCUUCGGCUUCUUUUCCUCUCUCUGAGGAAUCAGUGUGGGUGGCUUUACAAUGCUGCAUUGGGGGGCAUCCACAAGGGUUCAAGGUGUCCAAGCUUUGUGAUCGUUCCUUUCAGUUUUCGGUGGCCGGUAACAAAGUUGGUCAUUUUAUUCAUGGUCUCAAAGAUCGCAUUUGGCCGGACUUCGUUUGCCAUUUUCACCUGUUCAAUGGCCGUUUCAAUGGUUAUAAGCAUUAUGAUUUUCAAUGGCAUGCGGAUGAAAGACUUGAACCGGUUGCUAGCCGCUCCCCUAUGGCUGUUCGGUAUAACAAACCCAUCUUCGGGAAUAUGAAUUUAUGCAGUGAAUCAUCUAAAGAGUUGAGCAAAUUUGUUCUCACGCCAAUAGACUCCAUGGAUUUUCAUGAUCAGCAUGGCAAUGAAGCUUCAUGUUCAUCCUCCUCUCCUUCGAGGACGAUGACCAGACAAUUGCUACGUCCAUCACGGAUCCACUGCAUGCACACAAUCAAUGUGGGUCCCAACAAUUGGAAUCUUUGGAGCAUUCAAUUCUGA
rnacentral:rRNA from 1 species